rnacentral:rRNA from 1 species
CCUACGGGGGGCAGCAGUGGGGAAUAUUGGACAAUGGGGGCAACCCUGAUCCAGCCAUGCCGCGUGUGUGAAGAAGGCCCUCGGGUUGUAAAGCACUUUCAGUGAGGAAGAACGCCUGGUGGUUAAUACCCAUCAGGAAAGACAUCACUCACAGAAGAAGCACCGGCUAACUCCGUGCCAGCAGCCGCGGUAAUACGGAGGGUGCGAGCGUUAAUCGGAAUUACUGGGCGUAAAGCGCGCGUAGGUGGCUUGAUAAGCCGGUUGUGAAAGCCCCGGGCUCAACCUGGGAACGGCAGCCGGAACUGUCAAGCUAGAGUGCAGGAGAGGAAGGUAGAAUUCCCGGUGUAGCGGUGAAAUGCGUAGAGAUCGGGAGGAAUACCAGUGGCGAAGGCGGCCUUCUGGACUGACACUGACACUGAGGUGCGAAAGCGUGGGUAGCAAACAGGAUUAGAUACCCGAGUAGUC